rnacentral:rRNA from 1 species
UACAUGUGGGGCAAGCGUUGUUCGGAAUUACUGGGCAUAAAGGGUGCGUAGGCGGUUUGUUAAGUCACUGGUGAAAGUUUUCGGCCCAACCGGAAAAUUGCCUGUGAUACUGGCGAACUUGAGUGCGUGAGGGGUGGGGGGAACGAGCAGUGUAGCGGUGAAAUGCGUAGAUAUGACUCGGAAGGCCAACGGCGAAGGCAGGUUACUGGUACGCAACUGACGCUGAGGCACGAAAGCGUGGGGAGCAGACAGG